rnacentral:rRNA from 1 species
UACGUAGGUGACCAGCGUUGUCCGGAUUUACUGGGCGUAAAGAGCGCGCAGGCGGUCGUUUCAAGUCGAGUGUGAAAGCCCCCGGCUCAACUGGGGAGGGUCAUUCGAUACUGAUCGACUCGAAGGCAGGAGAGGGAAGCGGAAUUCCCGGUGUAGUGGUGAAAUGCGUAGAUAUCGGGAGGAACACCAGUGGCGAAGGCGGCUUCCUGGCCUGUUCUUGACGCUGAGGCGCGAAAGCUAGGGGAGCAAACGGGG